GGCAAAGUCAGCUAAUUAAGCUUUUGGGCUCAUGCCCCAGACAUGUGAAGUAAAAAACACCUUUGCUA
rnacentral:tRNA from 1 species